rnacentral:rRNA from 1 species
UACGUAGGUGGCAAGCGUUGUCCGGAAUUAUUGGGCGUAAAGCGCGCGUAGGCGGUUACUUAAGUCGGAUGUGAAAGCCCUCGGCUUAACUGAGGAAGUGCACCCGAAACUGAGUAGCUAGAGUACGAAAGAGGGUCGCGGAAUUCCCGGUGUAGAGGUGAAAUUCGUAGAUAUCGGGAGGAACACCGGUGGCGAAAGCGCACGACUGGACCUUUUCUGACGCUGAGGCGCGAAAGCCAGGGGAGCAAACGGG